rnacentral:rRNA from 1 species
AGUCACUGACAUUAGACUACCCCCGUAGUCCCAGCCGUAAACAAUGUGCGUUAGGUGUGUCGGUAACCACGCGUUACUGAUGCGCCGAAGAGAAAUCGUGAAACGCACCACCUGGGAAGUACGGUCGCAAGGCUGAAACUUAAAGGAAUUGGCGGGGAGCACCACAACAGGUGGAGCCUGCGGUUUAAUUGGAUUCAACGCCGGACAUCUCACCGGAUAAGACAGCUGAAUGAUUGUCAAUCUGAAGGUUUUACAUGACUAGCUG